rnacentral:rRNA from 1 species
GACGAACGCUGGCGGCGUGCCUAAUACAUGCAAGUCGAGCGAGCAGAACCAGCAGAUUUACUUCGGUAAUGACGCUGGGGACGCGAGCGGCGGAUGGGUGAGUAACACGUGGGGAACCUGCCCCAUAGUCUAGGAUACCACUUGGAAACAGGUGCUAAUACCGGAUAAUAAAGCAGAUCGCAUGAUCAGCUUAUAAAAGGCGGCGUAAGCUGUCGCUAUGGGAUGGCCCCGCGGUGCAUUAGCUAGUUGGUAAGGUAACGGCUUACCAAGGCAAUGAUGCAUAGCCGAGUUGAGAGACUGAACGGCCACAUUGGGACUGAGACACGGCCCAAACUCCUACGGGAGGCAGCAGUAGGGAAUCUUCCACAAUGGACGCAAGUCUGAUGGAGCAACGCCGCGUGAGUGAAGAAGGUUUUCGGAUCGUAAAGCUCUGUUGUUGGUGAAGAAGGAUAGAGGUAGUAACUGGCCUUUAUUUGACGGUAAUCAACCAGAAAGUCACGGCUAACUACGUGCCAGCAGCCGCGGUAAUACGUAGGUGGCAAGCGUUGUCCGGAUUUAUUGGGCGUAAAGCGAGCGCAGGCGGAAGAAUAAGUCUGAUGUGAAAGCCCUCGGCUUAACCGAGGAAUUGCAUCGGAAACUGUUUUUCUUGAGUGCAGAAGAGGAGAGUGGAACUCCAUGUGUAGCGGUGGAAUGCGUAGAUAUAUGGAAGAACACCAGUGGCGAAGGCGGCUCUCUGGUCUGCAACUGACGCUGAGGCUCGAAAGCAUGGGUAGCGAACAGGAUUAGAUACCCUGGUAGUCCAUGCCGUAAACGAUGAGUGCUAAGUGUUGGGAGGUUUCCGCCUCUCAGUGCUGCAGCUAACGCAUUAAGCACUCCGCCUGGGGAGUACGACCGCAAGGUUGAAACUCAAAGGAAUUGACGGGGGCCCGCACAAGCGGUGGAGCAUGUGGUUUAAUUCGAAGCAACGCGAAGAACCUUACCAGGUCUUGACAUCUAGUGCCAUCCUAAGAGAUUAGGAGUUCCCUUCGGGGACGCUAAGACAGGUGGUGCAUGGCUGUCGUCAGCUCGUGUCGUGAGAUGUUGGGUUAAGUCCCGCAACGAGCGCAACCCUUAUUAUUAGUUGCCAGCAUUAAGUUGGGCACUCUAAUGAGACUGCCGGUGACAAACCGGAGGAAGGUGGGGAUGACGUCAAGUCAUCAUGCCCCUUAUGACCUGGGCUACACACGUGCUACAAUGGGCAGUACAACGAGAAGCGAGCCUGCGAAGGCAAGCGAAUCUCUGAAAGCUGUUCUCAGUUCGGACUGCAGUCUGCAACUCGACUGCACGAAGCUGGAAUCGCUAGUAAUCGCGGAUCAGAACGCCGCGGUGAAUACGUUCCCGGGCCUUGUACACACCGCCCGUCACACCAUGGAAGUCUGCAAUGCCCAAAGCCGGUGGCCUAACCUUCGGGAAGGAGCCGUCUAAGGCAGGG